rnacentral:lncRNA from 1 species
AUUAAUGUGCAUGUGUGAAGAUUCAAAACAGAUGGGGAAAAGGCCAAGGAUUCUUUGUUGCUAAGUGCGUUUCUAUGACAACUGCAAUAUGUACGUUAUGCGUGAGCAAUCAUUUGUUCCAGCUGCUAGAUCAUUAAAGGGCCAGCACUUCCCUGAGCACUGGGAAUGUUAUUUAUGGCUUAUUUACUUUUUCUUUACCCCUCUUUAAGCUCAGGUUCAACAGGUAAGACUUGAUGAAUACGUGAAAAUCUCAGUCAGUUGCAGCAUGCUACACCAUAGGACUGGUUGAGUCUGGAUUACAUGGAAUCAGAUUUGUGGAUCUGGAUUAGUUCUGGAACAGAGAUACAAUCCUGGAACCUCAAUACAGAUCAACAUCUGUUGCUAGUGACAUUGAAGCUCAUGUUGCGUAUUGGCUGGUGAAAGAGAACAAAGCGAAGUGUCUGCUCUACGUUCUGGAUCCUGUCCAUCUUGCUUCACCAUAUGGAGUGAUAAUGGGCUCUGCUAUUCAGAUCUUAUUUUGUUCUUUGAGAAAUAUGUAAAGGAUGGUAUUUAUUAAAUUCAGUGGAAAGUGUCAAGAACAAGGCUAAGUAUUCUGCAAACUGAGCUUCCUUCAGUGCCUGAACAUCUCUGUAGCUGACUUUCUGGAAGAUUAGGCUCAGCAGCUGUCUG